rnacentral:misc_RNA from 1 species
GAUGAAGAACGUAUCGAAAUGCGAUAAGUAGUGUGAAUUGCAGAAUUCAGUGAAUCAUCGAAUCUUUGAACGCACAUUGCGCCCCUUGGUAUCCCGAGGGGCAUGCCUGUUCGAGCGUCAUUUCACCACUCAAGCCUGGCUUGGUGUUGGGCGACGUCCCCUUUGGGGACGCGCCUCGAAACGCUCGGCGGCGUGGCACCGGCUUUAAGCGUAGCAGAAUCUUUCGCUUUGGAAGUCGGGGCCCCGUCUGCCGGAAGACCUACUCGCAAGGUUGACCUCGGAUCAGGCAGGGAUACCCGCUGAACUUAAGCAUAUCAAUAAGCGGAGGA